rnacentral:tRNA from 2 species
UGCGGGGUAGAGCAGUCCGGUAGCUCGUCGGGCUCAUAACCCGGAGGUCGUGGGUUCGAAUCCCACCCCCGCUACCA